UGACCCUUAGGGGUCACCUAGCCAACUGACGUUGUUAGUGAAUAAAGUAUUCACAAAUAACAGCCAAUAGAGUCUCUUUUCUAUUGGCUAUUUUUUU
rnacentral:sRNA from 1 species